ACGGGUGAGUAAUGUCUGGGGAUCUGCCCGAUAGAGGGGGAUAACCACUGGAAACGGUGGCUAAUACCGCAUAACGUCGCAAGACCAAAGAGGGGGACCUUCGGGCCUCUCACUAUCGGAUGAACCCAGAUGGGAUUAGCUAGUAGGCGGGGUAACGGCCCACCUAGGCGACGAUCCCUAGCUGGUCUGAGAGGAUGACCAGCCACACUGGAACUGAGACACGGUCCAGACUCCUACGGGAGGCAGCAGUGGGGAAUAUUGCACAAUGGGCGCAAGCCUGAUGCAGCCAUGCCGCGUGUAUGAAGAAGGCCUUCGGGUUGUAAAGUACUUUCAGCGGGGAGGAAGGCGAUGUGGUUAAUAACCGCAUUGAUUGACGUUACCCGCAGAAGAAGCACCGGCUAACUCCGUGCCAGCAGCCGCGGUAAUACGGAGGGUGCAAGCGUUAAUCGGAAUUACUGGGCGUAAAGCGCACGCAGGCGGUCUGUUAAGUCAGAUGUGAAAUCCCCGGGCUUAACCUGGGAACUGCAUUUGAAACUGGCAGGCUUGAGUCUCGUAGAGGGGGGUAGAAUUCCAGGU
rnacentral:rRNA from 1 species